rnacentral:rRNA from 1 species
UACGUAGGGGGCAAGCGUUGUCCGGAAUCAUUGGGCGUAAAGAGCUCGUAGGCGGCCGGUUGCGUCUGCUGUGAAAUCCCGGGGGCUUAACCCCGGGCGUGCAGUGGAUACGGGCUGGCUGGAGGCAGGGCAGGGGAGGAAUGGGAAUUCCGGUGUAGCGGUGAAAUGCGCAGAUAUCGGGAGGAACACCGGUGGCGAAGGCGGUUCUCUGGGGCCUGUGCUGACGCUGAGGAGCGAAAGCGUGGGGAGCGAACA